rnacentral:rRNA from 1 species
CGUACACUCCUACGGGAGGCAGCAGUGGGGAAUUUUGGACAAUGGGCGAAAGCCUGAUCCAGCCAUGCCGCGUGCAGGAUGAAGGCCUUCGGGUUGUAAACUGCUUUUGUACGGAACGAAACGGCCUUUUCUAAUAAAGAGGGCUAAUGACGGUACCGUAAGAAUAAGCACCGGCUAACUACGUGCCAGCAGCCGCGGUAAUACGUAGGGUGCAAGCGUUAAUCGGAAUUACUGGGCGUAAAGCGUGCGCAGGCGGUUAUGUAAGACAGUUGUGAAAUCCCCGGGCUCAACCUGGGAACUGCAUCUGUGACUGCAUAGCUAGAGUACGGUAGAGGGGGAUGGAAUUCCGCGUGUAGCAGUGAAAUGCGUAGAUAUGCGGAGGAACACCGAUGGCGAAGGCAAUCCCCUGGACCUGUACUGACGCUCAUGCACGAAAGCGUGGGGAGCAAACAGGAUUAGAAACCCGGUAGUCCC